UAUCUUCGGAUAGAGAGACCGGCGCACGGGUGCGUAACGCGUAUGCAAUCUACCUUUUACAGAGGGAUAGCCCAGAGAAAUUUGGAUUAAUACCUCAUAGUAUGCAGAGUUGGCAUCAACACUGCAUUAAAGUCACAACGGUAAAAGAUGAGCAUGCGUCCCAUUAGCUAGUUGGUAAGGUAACGGCUUACCAAGGCUACGAUGGGUAGGGGUCCUGAGAGGGAGAUCCCCCACACUGGUACUGAGACACGGACCAGACUCCUACGGGAGGCAGCAGUGAGGAAUAUUGGACAAUGGGCGCAAGCCUGAUCCAGCCAUGCCGCGUGCAGGAUGACGGUCCUAUGGAUUGUAAACUGCUUUUGCACAGGAAGAAACAACGCUACGUGUAGCGUCUUGACGGUACUGUGAGAAUAAGGAUCGGCUAACUCCGUGCCAGCAGCCGCGGUAAUACGGAGGAUCCAAGCGUUAUCCGGAAUCAUUGGGUUUAAAGGGUCCGUAGGCGGUUAGUAAGUCAGUGGUGAAAGCCCAUCGCUCAACGGUGGAACGGCCAUUGAUACUGCUAGACUUGAAUUAUUAGGAAGUAACUAGAAUAUGUAGUGUAGCGGUGAAAUGCUUAGAGAUUACAUGGAAUACCAAUUGCGAAGGCAGGUUACUACUAAUGGAUUGACGCUGAUGGACGAAAGCGUGGGUAGCGAACAGGAUUAGAUACCCUGGUAGUCCACGCCGUAAACGAUGGAUACUAGCUGUUGGGAGCGAUCUCAGUGGCUAAGCGAAAGUGAUAAGUAUCCCACCUGGGGAGUACGUUCGCAAGAAUGAAACU
rnacentral:rRNA from 1 species